CCCCAAAUCUCUACACGUCCUCUCGGUGUUUACCUGGAGACCCAAAGCUAUGAUGAUGAUUGACACCGUGUUUCCUGGCUGGGAGGUCCGUGGUUGCCCUGUCCCCAUGUGUAAGGAUCAAGGGAAGUGAUAACCUUCAUCCAGUACUAACGGAAGCAGAUGCAGAGAUCCACAGCUAAGCACUUUGUGGAGCUCCCGGAGUCCAGUUGAAGCAAAGGAGGAGAGAUUAUAUGAGCAAAGGGGACAAGAUCAUGAUGGGGAAUCCCACAGAGACCUGAGCUAAUGGGAGCUCACUGACUCUGGACUGACAACUGGGGAACCUGCAUGGGACCGAACUAGGCCCUCUGAAUGUGGGUGACAGUUGUGUGACUUGGACAAUUUAUGGGGCCACUGGCAGUGGCACCAGGAUUUAUCCUUCGUGCACGAACUGGCUUUUUGGAGCCCAUUCCCCGUGGAGGGAUGCCUUGCUCAGCCUUGAUGCAGCAGAGAGGGGCUUGGUCCUGCCUCACCUUGAUAUGGCGGGCUUCCUUGACUCCCCGUGGGAGGCCUUACCCUCCCUGAGGACUGGAUAGGAGGCUGGGUGGAGGAAAGA